rnacentral:rRNA from 1 species
UACGUAGGGGGCAAGCGUUAUCCGGAUUUACUGGGUGUAAAGGGAGCGUAGACGGAAUUGCAAGUCUGAUGUGAAAAUCCGGGGCCCAACCCCGGAACUGCAUUGGAAACUGUAUUUCUAGAGUGUCGGAGAGGCAAGAGGAAUUCCUGGUGUAGCGGUGAAAUGCGUAGAUAUCAGGAGGAACACCAGUGGCGAAGGCGGCUUGCUGGACGAUGACUGACGUUGAGGCUCGAAAGCGUGGGGAGCAAACAGG